CAGCCGCCACGGGAAUACGUAGGGUGCGAGCGUUAAUCGGAAUUACUGGGCGUAAAGCGUGCGCAGGCGGUUAUAUAAGACAGAUGUGAAAUCCCCGGGCUCAACCUGGGACCUGCAUUUGUGACUGUAUAGCUAGAGUACGGUAGAGGGGGAUGGAAUUCCGCGUGUAGCAGUGAAAUGCGUAGAUAUGCGGAGGAACACCGAUGGCGAAGGCAAUCCCCUGGACCUGUACUGACGCUCAUGCACGAAAGCGUGGGGAGCAAACAGGAUUAGAUACCCCAGUAGUCCCUGUCUCUUAUAC
rnacentral:rRNA from 1 species